rnacentral:rRNA from 1 species
UGGGGAAUUUUGGACAAUGGGCGAAAGCCUGAUCCAGCAAUGCCGCGUGUGUGAAGAAGGCCUUCGGGUUGUAAAGCACUUUUGUCCGGAAAGAAAUCCUUGGCUCUAAUACAGUCGGGGGAUGACGGUACCGGAAGAAUAAGCACCGGCUAACUACGUGCCAGCAGCCGCGGUAAUACGUAGGGUGCAAGCGUUAAUCGGAAUUACUGGGCGUAAAGCGUGCGCAGGCGGUUUUGUAAGACGGAUGUGAAAUCCCCGGGCUUAACCUGGGAACUGCAUUCGUGACUGCAAGGCUAGAGUAUGGCAGAGGGGGGUAGAAUUCCACGUGUAGCAGUGAAAUGCGUAGAGAUGUGGAGGAAUACCGAUGGCGAAGGCAGCCCCCUGGGCCAAUACUGACGCUCAUGCACGAAAGCGUGGGGAGCAAACAGGAUUAGAUACCCUGGUAGUCCACGCCCUAAACGAUGUCAACUAGUUGUUGGGGAUUCAUUUCCUUAGUAACGUAGCUAACGCGUGAAGUUGACCGCCUGGGGAGUACGGUCGCAAGAUUAAAACUCAAAUGAAUUGACGGGGUCAUA